rnacentral:rRNA from 1 species
UACGGGGGGGGCAAGCGUUGUUCGGAAUUACUGGGCGUAAAGGGCUCGUAGGUGGCCAACUAAGUCAGACGUGAAAUCCCUCGGCUUAACCGGGGAACUGCGUCUGAUACUGGAUGGCUUGAGUGUGGGAGAGGGAUGCGGAAUUCCAGGUGUAGCGGUGAAAUGCGUAGAUAUCAGGAAGAACACCGACGGCGAAGGCAGCUCGCUGGGACGGUACUGACGCUGAGGCGCGAAAGCGUGGGGAGCGAACAGG